rnacentral:rRNA from 1 species
GGUGAACGCUGGCGGUAGGCCUAACACAUGCAAGUCGAACGGCAGCACAGUAAGAGCUUGCUCUUACGGGUGGCGAGUGGCGGACGGGUGAGGAAUACAUCGGAAUCUACUUUUUCGUGGGGGAUAACGUAGGGAAACUUACGCUAAUACCGCAUACGACCUACGGGUGAAAGCAGGGGAUCUUCGGACCUUGCGCGAUUAAAUGAGCCGAUGUCGGAUUAGCUAGUUGGCGGGGUAAAGGCCCACCAAGGCGACGAUCCGUAGCUGGUCUGAGAGGAUGAUCAGCCACACUGGAACUGAGACACGGUCCAGACUCCUACGGGAGGCAGCAGUGGGGAAUAUUGGACAAUGGGCGCAAGCCUGAUCCAGCCAUACCGCGUGGGUGAAGAAGGCCUUCGGGUUGUAAAGCCCUUUUGUUGGGAAAGAAAAGCAGCAGGUUAAUACCCCGCUGUUCUGACGGUACCCAAAGAAUAAGCACCGGCUAACUUCGUG